UACAGAGGUCCCAAGCGUUGUUCGGAAUUACUGGGCGUAAAGGGCGCGCAGGCGGCCGCUCAAGUCAGAUGUGAAAGCCCCGGGCUCAACCUGGGAACUGCAUUUGAUACUGAGUGGCUAGAGUUCGGGAGAGGAGAGUGGAAUUCCCAGUGUAGAGGUGAAAUUCGUAGAUAUUGGGAAGAACACCGGUGGCGAAGGCGGCUCUCUGGACCGAUACUGACGCUGAGGCGCGAAAGCGUGGGGAGCAAACAGG
rnacentral:rRNA from 1 species